UGAAUGAUUUUAAGUCAACUUGACACAAGUUAAAGUUAUUUGAGAUAAGGUAACCUCAAUUUAAAAAUGCCUCAGUAUAAUCAGGUUGUAGGCAGACCUGUAACUUAUUUUCUUAAUUAUGGUCCCAUAAAAAAGCAGGCUGAGCAAGCCAUGAGGAGCAAGCCAAUAAGCAGCACCCCGCCUGGCCUCUUCAUCAGCUCCUGCUCCCAGGUUCCUGCUUGUUUGAGUUGCUGCACUGACUUCAUUCAGUAAUGAACAGUGAUACAGAAGUGUAAGCCAAAUAAACCCUUUCCUCCCUAAUUUACUUUUUGAUCAGGAUGUUUCAUCACAGUAACAGAAAUCCUAAUUAAGACAACAGGUAAGUAAGUAAAUUUUUUCUGCCUCAACAUCAUCAUUACUGUGAAUUGUAAAUUAUGUUACCCAGUAUAAAAGUUCUAAAGGGAACACUAAGGACUAAUUUUCAGUGAGCAUUGAGACAUCAAAGCAUUAAUUUAUCAGUGUCAGUCUCUGAACCUCAAUUUUCUUCACCUGUCAACUCAGAACAAAGAUACUCACUCUGCUAUCUAUGAGUAAUAUUUUUAGAAUCAAAUAAUAUAAAAUCUGAGUGUACACUUUGAAGUGUGAACUAAACCCUAUUACUAAAAGAGGUUAUGAAGUCUUAUUCUCCUGUAGAGAUAAAUAGUCAGUGUCAGAAAUCAAGGCGUUCCUAGAAUUAUUGAAUCCUUGGGCUAGAAAGAGAAAGGUCUUUAGCUGCCAUUUAUAUAACAUCUUCAUUGUUUAUACAGUACAAAUGAAAGUUAUAGAGAAAAUGACAUACUUGAAGUUACCAGAAAAUAGUGACAUAACGAAGCGGUGAUUUGAAGAUAACAACUUAUCUUGGAUCCCUGGCUUUUGCAACCAUUUCACAUUCUGUCCCCUUCUUUGUUCUUGUCUCCUCCAUUAUCUGAGCUCUUUGUGUUCCACACUGUAAACAAAGUGCUGAUUGGACAUGAGCCAUUAAACAGUAGGAUUGCUUUGUAGAAGACAUGGAGUUCAUGUGAUCAGUUAAGACUUCCCUGUGAACUGUACAACCCUGUGUGUAUCAGAAGCAAGGGGAUCCUGAACAAAGAAAAGACAUUGCUCCAGUUGUCAAGGAAAGGGGAGAAAGGCAUAAAAGGAGAGACUGAGCAACAGCUGUCCAGAUCAUCACAUGGAGGAAACAUUUGAACUGAUGAUUAACUGAGACAAAACUGAAGAUAUUGAAAUUCACUAAAUCCUCACAAUGAUUAUUAUCUCUUCCUCUAACCUAAACAUUUUCAUCUUCCACUUUAUUUUGGUCAUCUAAAGAAGUUAUCCUUCUUACCGUUCGCAGGUUUUGAAAAUGAAUUGUACAUGAAAUAAUAAAAUGGUAUACAUCCUGGGUUUGGUAACAGUA